rnacentral:rRNA from 1 species
UACGUAGGGUGCGAGCGUUAAUCGGAAUUACUGGGCGUAAAGCGUGCGUAGACGGUAACGUAAGUCGGGUGUGAAAGCCCCGGGCUCAACCUGGGAAUUGCAUUCGAGACUGCUCUGCUAGGGUGCGGAAGAGGGAAGCGGAAUUUCAGGUGUAGCGGUGAAAUGCGUAGAUAUCUGAAGGAACACCAGUGGCGAAAGCGGCUUCCUGGUCCAGCACCGACGUCAGGCACGAAAGCGUGGGGAGCAAACAGG